rnacentral:tRNA from 1 species
GGAGGGUAUAGCUCAGUGGUAGAGUCUAUGCUUAGCAUGCAUAAGGUCCUGGGUUCAAUCCCCAGUACCUCCA